rnacentral:tRNA from 2 species
UCCCUGAUGGUCCAGUGGUCAGGACUCAGCGAUUCCACCGCCGAGGGCCCAGGUUCGAUCCCUGGUCAGGGAA